CCCUUAGAUGUUCUGGGCCGCACGCGUGCUACACUGAGUGGAUCAGCGGGUCAGGUUGCGCGAAAGCGUUUCCUAAUCUUUAAAUCCGCUCGUGAUGGGGAUUGACGGUUGCAAUUUUCUGUCAUGAACGGGGAAUACCUUGUAAGCGCGGGUCAUCAUCCUGCGCUGAAUACGUCCCUGCCCUUUGUACACACCGCCCGUCGCUCCUACCGAUUGAGUGGUCCGGUGAGGCUUUGGGAUCUGAGCGGAAAGAGCGUUUCGCUGUUUCUGCUCGGAAAACUCAGUCGAACCUUAUCAUUUAGAGGAAGGAGAAGUCGUAACA
rnacentral:rRNA from 1 species